rnacentral:rRNA from 1 species
GAAGGCUGAAAUUCGCCUUCAUGAAGCCGGAAUUGCUAGUAAUGGCAGGUCAGCAUACUGCCGUGAAUACGUUCCCGGGCCUUGUACACACCGCCCGUCACACCAUGAGAGUUGGGAAUACCCGAAGCCUGUGAGCUAACAUUUAUGAGGCAGCAGUCGGAGGUAGAAUCAAUGAUUGGGGUGAAGUCGUAACAAGGUAGC